AUCCCUAAUCACAUGAUAACGGGCUAUUUCCAAAGCUUGAACCCUUAAUCCCUAAUCACAUGAUAACAACUUUAUCAGUUACUCCAAGGCUCCCCUUCAAAUGGAGGAGAAAACUGCGUAGGAGGUGAAAAUGGCGGCAGUGGUUUUGAUGCAAGUGGUUUUGAUGCAAGAGCAGGUGAAGGCGAUGGAGAUAUGGUACCAAUUAAUCUAAUUGAAGUUUAAUGAAGGCCUCUUUAUAGGCUUUGGGUUUAAUACCAUUUUCAUCGAAUUCUUUUCAAUAGUAUAGAAAUUAGAAUAAAUUUUGAAACCGUCAACAAGUGAAUUGUGAAGAUUGUGGAUCCCUUCUGGAAUGUUUCCUUGAAGUGAAUUGUAAGAUAAUACUAACGUCUCCAACCUUUAGGCAUUCGAGAGAGACACAGGGAUAUGACCCUCAUAUGGAAUUGAAUUUCAGAUUCAAAGUCUCGACUUUUGGAAAUAUUAGAAAAUGAAGAAGGGAUGAAACCAGUGAAACUAUUAUUUCCAAGAUUUAGAACUUGAAGUUGGUGUUAGAAUCCAUACCAAGAGGGAACCUCCCCACUAAAGUUGUUGAAACUUAAAUCAAGAAACUUAAGUCGACGCAAGUGUGCCAUUUUUUGAGGCAUAUUUCCGUGGAAAUUAUUGCUUUCCAAGUAAAGAGAAACAAGAAAUGUGAGGUUUCCAAAAUCACGUGGAAUUCUGCCCGUUAGAUCCAUGUUGGAAAGAUUCAAGGAUUUCACUCUUUGGUGGUGAGAGCCACAAGUGACUCCAACCCAAUGGCAAACAGAAGUAGCGGGAGACCAACUUUCAUCCAAGAAGUGAAAGGGAUCCGAAAUGAUUUGAGAUUUUAAAGAAAGAAGAGCUAAUUGAUCAGUCGUAGCAUUGGUUUGGGUCAUAUCUGAACCAGCCAUGAGGACCCUGGGAUUUACUGUUUACUGUCCACUGUUUAACACGCAACAAGCUCAAGGAGAGGUGAACACAGGAAAUUUGAAAAUGGAUAAGUCUUGGAUGCGUUGUACUGACACAUCGAGCGAUGUUUAUAUAAAAGGAGUUGACAAUUUUCUUCAAUUUGCUUUCAAGCACUCAGAAGUCGAUGGUGAAAUUCCUGUUCCUUGUACGCAAUGCAAUAAUAUUUUAAAUGGGUCUAGAGCUGAUGUCAGGGAACAUUUAAUACUUAGCGAGAUAGUCAAAAACUACAUACAUUGGCUUCAUCGUGGAGAAUCUGCACCUAAAAAGCAAACCAUUAAUCAGAAGGAAGAAGGAAAAGAACAAGGUGAUCCAUCUCAAAAGAAAAGAAAAGAACGAAGUGAUGAAAUGUUUGAAAUAAUUUAUGAUGUUGUUGGUCCUGAAUUCAUGGAUGAUUCUAAUGGGGUUAGGUUUAAACAAGGUGAUACUUCCGAACCCACUUCCAAAAUUUUCAAAUUAGUGGAGGAUGCCUCACAACAACUUUAUCCUGGUUGCAAGGCAUGCUCCAAAUUAUCAUUGAUUGUGGAAUUAUUCCAAACUAAAUGGGGGAAAAGGCGAAAAUACGAUUUUGUCUCUUCCAUUGUGCCCCUGCUGUAUUAGGGAGUAUUUGUUUCUCAUUUUCCUUGCUUGUUUCUUCAAAUUCCAGCUUGCUAGGUGUUUUAGUCUUGAUAGCCAUUGCUAUAUUACCAGUAGAUAGACAAAGUUUACCUAUUAGUUGUUGACAAGAACUCCUUGUGCUAGGAAGAGUAAGUUGUCCGGUCAGUUGGUUUGUGCCUCUCUCAGUGCUAGGGGCUUUAUCUUUACGGGCCGCUGUUUCAUUCCCAUUGGAAGGACAAGGUUCAUCCAUCAAUUCAAGUGGUUGAAAGGAGUUCAUGGUAGUAACCGGAUGACAAGUCAAGUUGGGUAAGAAAGAUAUCUGGUGCACUUUCACGUUCCACUGUUGUUUCUCCUUUGUUGAUUGUUGUUUCUUGGCCAGCUUAAGAUUUGGACAAAAACUGCUUUUGCAUCUCCUCGUUGGCCUGAUCUAGAGGAUCCAUAUUGGUGGGUGUCUAUCUGGCAACUUCAUCUUGGUUUUCCAACUCAAGUUAGCUUUUACACCCUUUUGGAUUCGUUGCCUAUUCACUGUAGAGUGUCUUUGCUUCCUCGCGACCUGAUUUCCAAAGCAUUUGGUGUUGUGGUUGAGGGAAAGAUUCAUAUUGCUCUUCUCCUUCGUCGGUGAUACCAUUUAUGGAACAGUCCCCAAGGGAGCAAUAACCAUACUUCUGUGAAGGAUUUUUACCAGUUGAAAGGUCUUACUUUGGCGAUUGGUAGUCGUUGUUGAGUGUUUGUAGUGGGUCUUCGUUGCAAUCAAAAUUGAUAAAGAAGAUAUUGUAUAAAUUUAGGUGAUGCCAAUUUGUAACUGGAAUAACUAAAUGGCGUAUAAAAAGAAGGUAGUGUAUGAAGAUGAAAACCCAUAAUGGAAGCAAUUAAAUAGGAGAAAAGAAAAACGAUUAGAAGAAUUUAGGGUGGAUUGAUAUCAAUAAUUAAGGAUAACUAUAUUUAAGGAAGGAUUAUUGCAUAUUAGUUGUAUUAAAUCUUUAUUUUUCUUUUCAGUAAUUACUUUUUUACAUUUUUUAAAAAAAGAAAAAAACUUUUUGUUUUCUUAUAAGAUUUGCUAUAACUUAAAAAAAAAUGAAAGUUAUGCUAUAAGUUGAAAUUUCUUAUCUAAUAAUUGCUAUAUACGUUUUUUUUUCUCAUUUCUAUACUAUUAAAAAGAAUCCGGGGAAAAUGGUAUUAAACCCAAAGCCUAUAAAGAGGCCUUUCAUUUAAACUUCAAUUAGAUUAAUUGGCACCAUAUCUCCAUCGCCUUCACCUGCUCCUGCAUCAAAAUCACUGCCACCAUCUUCACCUACGACAUUGUCGUGUCCUCCAGUGCUACCUAAUCCACUACCGUAGCCACCUCCCAUUCCCCCUCCAGAUCCACCAUUCACCCCUCCUCCACCGCCGCCACCACCAUUCAUCAUCCAA